ACUUUGGGGAGUACAAAAAUUCAUAAGCCCGAUCCUGUCUGAUCUCAAGCUAAGCAGGGUCAGGCCUGGUUAGUACUUGGAUGGGAGACCACCAAGAAAGAUCAGGUGCUGUAGGUG
rnacentral:rRNA from 1 species